rnacentral:rRNA from 1 species
UACGGAGGGUGCAAGCGUUAAUCGGAAUUACUGGGCGUAAAGGGCGCGUAGGCGGCAGGCCAAGCGUGCGGUGAAAGUCCGGGGCUCAACCCCGGAUCUGCCGUGCGGACUGGUUUGCUAGAGCACUGUAGAGGCGAGUGGAAUUCCGGGUGUAGCGGUGGAAUGCGUAGAGAUCCGGAAGAACACCGGUGGCGAAGGCGGCUCGCUGGGCAGUGGCUGACGCUGAGGCGCGACAGCGUGGGGAGCAAACAGG